rnacentral:rRNA from 1 species
UCCAGAGAACUUAGCAGAGAUGCUUUGGUGCCUUCGGGAACUCUGAGACAGGUGCUGCAUGGCUGUCGUCAGCUCGUGUUGUGAAAUGUUGGGUUAAGUCCCGCAACGAGCGCAACCCUUAUCCUUUGUUGCCAGCGGUUCGGCCGGGAACUCAAAGGAGACUGCCGGUGAUAAACCGGAGGAAGGUGGGGAUGACGUCAAGUCAUCAUGGCCCUUACGGCCAGGGCUACACACGUGCUACAAUGGCGCAUACAAAGAGAAGCGACCUCGCGAGAGCAAGCGGACCUCAUAAAGUGCGUCGUAGUCCGGAUUGGAGUCUGCAACUCGACUCCAUGAAGUCGGAAUCGCUAGUAAUCGUAGAUCAGAAUGCUACGGUGAAUACGUUCCCGGGCCUUGUACACACCGCCCGUCACACCAUGGGAGUGGGUUGCAAAAGAAGUAGGUAGCUUAACCUUCGGGAGGGCGCUUACCACUUUGUGAUUCAUGACUGGGGUGAAGUCGUAACAAGGUAGGCGUAGCGAG